CAUGGAUAACUGUAGUAAUUCUAGAGCUAAUACAUGCAACUAUGCCCUGACCCGCAAGGGAACGGGUGCAUUUAUUAGAACAGAACCAACCGGUGGUGACUUCGGUUGCCGCCGUUGCUCUGUGAUGACUCUGGAUAACUUCACUGAUCGCAGUCGGCCUUGUGUCGGCGACGGAUCUUUCAAAUGUCUGCCCUAUCAAUUUUCGAUGGUAGGUGACCUGCCUACCAUGGUGAUAACGGGUAACGGGGAAUCAGGGUUCGAUUCCGGAGAGGGAGCCUGAGAAACGGCUACCACUUCCAAGGAAGGCAGCAGGCGCGCAAAUUACCCAAUCCCGGAACGGGGAGGUAGUGACGAAAAAUACGGAUACGGGACUCAUUAGAGGCUCCGUAAUUCGAAUGAGUACAAUUUAAAUCCUUUAACGAGGAUCAACUGGAGGGCAAGUCUGGUGCCAGCAGCCGCGGUAACUCCAGCUCCAGAAGCGUAUAUUAAAGUUGUUGCAGUUAAAAAGCUCGUAGUUGGAUCUGGGUCGCAUGGCUACAUGCCGUUGCUUGCUUUCCUGGUCUGGCUCUGCUGGGUCGGGUUGGCGGGUCGGUGCCGUGGUUGUGCAGCCUUUCUGCUGUGUCUGUUUCGACAGGUGUUGGCAUGUUUGGUGGGUUCGUCCUGCUGAUCUGUUGACAUGCUCUCAGAUGCCUUUCAUCGGGUGUCGGGGGCGGACAGCACGUUUACUUUGAACAAAUUUGAGUGCUCAAAGCAGGCCCUUGUGCCUGAAAAUUCUUGCAUGGAAUAAUGGAAUAGGACUUCGGUUCUAUUUUGUUGGUUUUCGGAUC
rnacentral:rRNA from 1 species